UUGAAUUGAAGAGUUUGAUCAUGGCUCAGAUUGAACGCUGGCGGCAGGCUUAACACAUGCAAGUCGAACGGUAACAU
rnacentral:rRNA from 1 species